UGGCUAAUUUGGUCCCCACAUUCUGGUGU
rnacentral:piRNA from 1 species